UGUCUCUAAAUGACUGGAAAAGUCUUAAUUCCCUUCUGGUAAGGGAAGCAAGGGUAUCUCUCCUUCCUGGCCACUUUUAGGGGAUGAGCUGGGGCUACCAAAGUCUGUUUAUACUGAACCGAGACCCUCUCUUGCUUUGUAGGUGGACUGGGACUCCUGGGCAGGAAUCGGCAGGGUGGGUGGGGUAUCGCUAGGGAGAAGGUGGGUGGAGAUAGAGGAGGAAUGCCAGCACAUCAUAUGUGGUCCUGGGGGCCACCAGAAGCACCUAAGAUGAGUGGCAGCCACUGGCCUUACCAGUGCCUCUGUCAGGAAGCACAGGAUGGCAGCCAACACAGUUCACCAUCAAAGGGAGCACCUGACUCCACAACCUCAUGGCAGCCAGACCCAGGCUGCAUCUCCAGAAUUCCUUGCAGUGGCUGAGAAGACAGAACUGGGUUCUUGGUGUCUCUAGACCCUUCCCGUCUGAGAGGAGGGACCAUCGGCAUGGACCAGGUUCCCAAGGAUCAGGAGCGACCCAAGUUACAACCUUUACCCUUGUGGGCACCAUCUGAGUGCUGAGCUGUUGCUGUCUGGGCACCACACUGAUCUCCAGGGUCAUGCCAGAUCCCAGACAGCACUUCCUGUUCCUUGCUGUUGGCUGACAGCCACACAGGGCCCCUGCCAUGAAAUACAGCCACCUGUAUGCCAAGAAGGCAUCAGGUCCAGCAAGAGACUCAGUGUUUUGACUUUGGUUUGGUGCGAUCUUCAUUUGAGGUGCGCUGUGUGCCACAGUGUUUGCCUAGGAACUGGAUUCCUGAGACCUCAGGCUGAGAGGAGCUCCUUAGGUGUUCACAUCUGUGUUUCUUCACCCCCAUUGGUGCCUCUGUGACUGGGUGCUACUCUCCAGCCGCUCUCCCACACACACUGGUGUCCAGGGCCCUGAGUCCUUGCCCCCUUGGGCCUCCCUCCUCCGGAACUUUCCCUGUCUUGUACGGGCUACACACAUGUGCCCAGACCUGUACCUUCAAAAACAAGAGUAGACCUAGCAGUCUACCUGCCUUGAAUCUCAUGCUGGCCUUGAACUCUCUAGGUAGCUUGGGAUGACCUUGAACUCCCAAUCUUCCUGUCUCUACCUGCCCAAGUGCUGGGAUCAUAUGUGUGUGCUACCAUGGCUGGCUGGCAUGGAGUGUGGCUUCUGAUUGGACAGAAAUAGUUCUUUGUGCUGUCAGUGGCUACAUAAUAUAAAUGCCCCUCACACACACACACACACAUACUUAAGAGGAAAGUUUCAACUCUGGAAAAUUACAUCCAGGAAAUGAGGGAAGUUUCUGCCUUGGGGACAUUUGAAAUCAGUUUCCUGGGUUGGUCUCAACCUACAAGGAGAAUUACUGGCUCCGGUGACUUUUACUGCAACCAUUUCUGGGGGCCUCUGGCAGCCAGGAAUGCUUGUACAGGCUGUCCUGGUGACAGGAGUUACAGCCAGGGUACAUUGCCCUCAAUGACACUUGUGUCAGGAGCAGACUCCAAGCAGCAUGACUAUAGGACACGCCAACUCCUUCCAGAAAGCACAGUCUAGUCCUGUCUGCCUAGGUGGGAGCAGAGUCCCUCCCCCUCCCACCUUGGGCAAAUUCCUCUCAAAGUGCCUGGAAGCCAGGUAACUGUGAGGGAGGGCUAAGUACCAACUAAACCAAUAAAACCAAGACAUAAUUGGCCACCCUACCUGCUGGUAAAGGUCUGGAGGUCUGGAAGGGACAGGCCCAAGCAUACCCAGGUCCAGCCUGCCAGUGCACCAUUGCCCAGCCCAAGUGGAGGCCUUGUUUGUCCCCAGCUUACAAGGUAACACUAUUGCCCAACCUGCUGGUAAUGCCACUAUUGGCUCUUCCUUUUGAGACAGGGUCUUGGGUAGACAAGAACUGUUGUCCAUUCUCCUGCCCCAGUCUUGUUAAGUGUUAUGAUUGCAAUCUUGAGUUACUAUGGCAGACUAUUUUGAGCCUGCAGCCAUUACUGACUUGAGUCUUCCACUCAGGCCUCCUCCUCUCCGCUCUUCUCUGAGUGAAGGAAGAACUGACUCUUCCUCUGGUGGGUGGGGCCUACAUACCUGUGUUAUCCCCUACCAGCACACAUGGUUUUGCACACAUUCUUUUAUACAAAUGGAUGGAUGACCUGGAAGACUUCCACAUAGCCAGAGGUUAAAGCAUCUCUCCCAUCUCACAUACCCAGGAUUUUAGCCCAUAGAAAGAUAGUUCACACCCAACUGUCUUGGAACCUGAUAGUACUCUGGAGCCCUGUGAGGACCUACAAGCACCGGGUGGUCCCACCAUCAUAUUCAAGGACUUUGUUGGCAGGCUGGCAGCAGGCUGGCUUGGGUGUGGGGAUUCUAGACUGUUGAGCCUGGUCAGCACCCUCCUCCUGCUUGGGGUCAACACUAUGUCUUAGGCUGUGGUUGCAGUGGCACCAGGAAGAGUCCUUCAUGGAGACUUAGACAUAGACACCAGCAGGCUCUAUUCCUGCUGGUGCAAUCAUGUGGAUGAACCAGGCUUUGCAGGCCACUAAAGCCACCAUAGGGGGUAGCAGAUCACUGUGGUACUCUGGGCUGCAGGAAUGAGGUUCUAAAAAGCAAACCGCUGGAAUGAUGCCUGGGGUUGUUUACAAAGUCCUCACAAUUAGAUGGACUUACUCCACUUGGAGGCUGCAGUUGACUUGGGUCCAGGAGGAACCCUGAGCCCCUUGUGCAUAGCGCUCACCGCUUCCUGCUUUAUCACGUUCUGGAAACAUUAAACACCCACACAUGGAACACACACCGACCAUCACCAGUCUCUGCAGGUUCCACCCCAGCCCACCCAGGUUACUUGUGGCCAAAUCUUGAAUGACCUCAUCCAUUCCCUCUGCCUUGCUGAGCAACUCUUUUGCAUGCUUAAAACACAAACACAACUCUGCUGUCACACCCACCAGGAGCAGCUCACGCAAGGCCACUUGACUGGUGAAGUGUGUCUGAACCAGCUCAAAGCUUGGAAUGUUUGGGGCUAGGGAAGCUGGGGCCUCUCCUGACUCCACAUCCGUGCAGAUGUCUUUCCACUGCUGUGGGAACCACAGCCCUGUGUUUGAGAUUUUGCCAGAUCGGCUACUGAUGGGUGGCUUUGCUGUUUCAGUGUCACAAAUAAAAGAGUCAAAAAGUUUACUACUUCACCUUGUGGUGCUGGAGCCCAGCAUUCUUCCAUUUGAGACGCAUUACCUCCAGCCCAAGCUCAAGAUUUCAUUUGUGUGUUUCUAUUGUUGUUGUUGUAGUUGCUGGGGCUUUUUUGUUUGGUUUGUAUCUGUUGUGAAAAGAGUUCCAUGGUAUUUAUUGAACUUGCCACUUAGCUGAGGAUGACCUUGGACGCACGAGGUCUUCUUAUGUCUACCUCCUAAGUGCUGUGAUGACAAAUGUGUCACUACCAAACCCAGCCCUGUUGACUAUUUAAAAGUAUAGAAUUCAGGGACUGGGAAAGCGGCUCAGUGGGUAAGGGCCUGAGUUCUGUCUCCAGCACCUGUGUAGAUGGUGAACAGGCAGGGUGGCCUACCUGGAAUCCCAUGUGCUCCGGAGGUGGCAACAGGGGACCCCAGAGUAAGCUGGCUCCUGGCAGAGAACCAAUGAAGAAGACAUCCAAUAUUGACUUCUUGCACACAUGCCCAGCGUCUCCACUGAACCAUGUGAACCUGUGUCACCAUCCAAGAGUCUACUGGUUGAUGAAAGUGAUGAGUCAGGUCGGUCCCUUGACGGCUGCUGGGGAGGGUGUGGCAGAUCCCAGGGAAGACACAGUCUGUUGUGAAGAUUUUACUGAAACUGUGGUGCACUGUGUCUAAAUGAACCCUUAGAACUUUCGUUUUACAGAAAGACAGUCAAGUUGAUUUUCUCACCAGCAGGCCCUUUGUCAGUUCUGUGGCUUCACAAUUAAAAUCUGACAGAAGAGAAUUCAUUCUCUCACAGUGUGCCUUGGAUUCAUACUAAAGUCAGCAUUUGUCAUGAGCAUAUUGCUUGUGAAAAGGACAGUUUCCAAUCUUUUGUCCGUUUCUCUGUGACUGUGUCUACCUUUCAAACAAAAUUCAAUUGAAGCCUGGGCGGGGAAGAUGGCCCAACUGAGUAUCUGCUAUGCAAGUAUGAGGAUCUGAGUCCAUAGUCCCAGCAGCCAUGUUAAAAAGCCAGGAGAAGCAGCUCACGUGGAAGGGACAGGGAGAAGGAUCCCUGGAGCUCACUGCCCAGUCUAGCCAAAUCGACAAGCUCUAGGUUCAGUGAGAGACCCGACCUCAAAACAUAAGGUGGAGAGUGAUAGAGGAAGACCCCUGGACUUGAUCUCUGGCCUCCACACGCCCACAGCACACAGCACGCCCCUGUGUGCUCGUAUGCACACUGUCUCGUGAGACAAAUUGAAGCUGGAUAGAAGCUGGUAUUUCCUGUCAUUUCUGAGCAACAUACCAAUAAAAAUGUGUUUGUCCUCCACAAAUGAGAGAAUGGCUUUUUCCUCAGUUGGCAUCUCACUGUGCAUAAAGAAUGGUCCCAGGCUAGGGUCAGGAUCAGAGCCUCCGCUGAACCGUGUGAACCUGUGUCACUGCCCAAGAGUCUGCUGGAUGAUGAAGGUGAUGAGGCAGGUCAGUCCCUUGAAGGCUGCCGGGGAGGGUGUGGCAGAUCCCAGGGAGACACAGAAUGUUCGUUUGCUGUGUUCCCUAUUGAACUCAAAGACUGGGGGACCAGGGAAAGCAGGUCCAGAAUCUCAGAGAAGUCUGGAGGAGGCAAACAAGCCAUGCCUGGCAGGGUAUCGGGUGAGCGUGCCUCUUUGCUGCUCAGAAUGCGUGAGAUCCGACUUGCAGGAUUUCAUAAAUCACAACUGUUUUAGCUUCGAGAGGAGGGAUUGAUUAAGGUCUGAGCCAUCAGGCGUCGAAUGGAUCAGGCUGUCUCUCACCACCUCCCCUUCCCAGACGAGCAAGUCAGCAGUUUUCCGGGAAAGCAGUCUCUACACAUUUAGCAUCAUCACAACGAUUACUGUAAGG
ensembl:lncRNA